AAUACUUUUUUUUUCUAAGACGGAUUUUUUCCCAUCUACAAUUAAAAAAAGUGAAUUUUCUUCAAUAAGAAAUUGUAAAAUCCUGACGGACGUCACUUGUCUUUUGUGUGAAUUUUUACUUAGGCCUAAGCACAUGAAAGACAAUCUAAUAUAUUAAAUUUUUAAUAUUCAUGUAUCGAGCAAGAAUUGCAACAAUAUUAAUCAUAAAUUAGCGAAUUUUUUGUUGUAUGUCAGCAUUCAUGCUUGGUAGUAGUAGCAGCAAUAAUGGCUAAUAAUGAGUUUUCUCGUGAUUUUAAGAUUCAGUUCUUUGGCUAAAAGUAUUUUUUUUAUUUUUAAAUGUUGAAAAUGAUUUCUUACAAAGAAUUAGAUAGGAAAUAUUUUUUUUUUAUUCUCUCACUGUUGAACGUUAGGUGAUGACGUCACGAGACUGAUGGCGGCUGAGUUGGGGCUGAUACAGCAAAGAAAAAAACACACGGAAUGGUAAAGGCUUCCAUUGCUCUCUGAUAAUGUUGAAUAAAAGUUCGGUUCUGAAAAAUACGUUUUAUCUAGUGUCAUCAGAUCAUCAACAGGCCGCUAACUGCCCCGUCUGGUCGUGUGGCCAAAAUUUGAGUGCAAGAGAACCUGUGGUGCUAUCCCGACUCCAGCUCUCUAGAUAGAUAAGAACAUAGGAGUGUACACGCUGCUGUCUGUGAACUGGUGAGAUCUCUGUCUGUCUGUCUCUCAGGAGUCUCUCAGGACCCACCACAGUAGCUGCCAACAUAAGAGACAAUCAAGG